rnacentral:rRNA from 1 species
AAAGCUCGUAGUUGGAUUUCGGAAUGAUCGGUUAUGUGGUCCGCUGAAAUGGCGAGUGCUACAUCCGGUUUUCCUUCCUUGUGGUCAACUGGGCGGUGGUUUACUCCAUCGUUCCGGUCCACAUCGUUUACUUUGAGAAAAUUAGAGUGUUCAAAGCAGGCACAACCUUGCCUGAAUAUUGCAGCAUGGGAUAAUAAAACAGGACGAGAGUCCUAUUUUGUUGGUUUCUAGGGCUUUUGUAAUGAUUAAAAGGGACAGUUGGGGGCAUUAGUAUUCAGUGGUCAGAGGUGAAAUUCUAGGAUUUACUGAAGACUAACUACUGCGAAAGCAUUUGCCAAGGAUGUUUUCAUUAAUCAAGAACGAAAGUAGGGGGAUCGAAGAUGAUCAGAUACCGUCGUAGUCUCUACCAUAAACUAUGCCGACCAGGGAUUCGGAGAAGUUACGUGGAUGACUCCCCGAGCACCUUGUGAGAAAUCAUAAGUCGUUGGGUUCUGGGGGGAGUAUGGUCGCAAGGCUGAAACUUAA